rnacentral:misc_RNA from 1 species
GUCGUAACAAGGUCUCCGUUGGUGAACCAGCGGAGGGAUCAUUAUCGAGUUUAACUCUUAAACCAUAUGUGAACGUACCUUUCUAGCUGCUUUGGCAGGUGCCUCUCGGGGCUUCUGCCGGUAGCAUUUGAUAAACUCUUUAAUUUUCUAUCAGAAUUAUCCAUUGCUGAGUGGCAUUAACUAAAUAAGUUAAAA